rnacentral:rRNA from 1 species
AGAAUCAACGCUGGCGGCGUGCCUAACACAUGCAAGUCGCACGAGAAAGGGUAGCAAUACCUGAGUAAAGUGGCGCACGGGUGAGUAACACGUGACUAAUCUACCCUCGAGUGGGGAAUAACUGAGAGAAAUCUCAGCUAAUACCGCAUAACACUUACGAGUCAAAGCAGAAAUGCGCUUGGGGAGGAGGUCGCGGCCGAUUAGCUAGUUGGCGGGGUAAUGGCCCACCAAGGCAUGAUCGGUA